UACGUAGGAGGCUAGCGUUGUCCGGAAUCAUUGGGCGUAAAGCGCGUGUAGGCGGUUCGGUAAGUCCGCUGUGAAAGUCGGGGGCUCAACCCUCGGAUGCCGGUGGAUACUGUCGAGCUUGAGUACGGAAGAGGCGAGUGGAAUUCCUGGUGUAGCGGUGGAAUGCGCAGAUAUCAGGAGGAACACCAAUAGCGAAGGCAGCUCGCUGGGACGUUACUGACACUGAGGCGCGAAAGCGUGGGGAGCGAACAGG
rnacentral:rRNA from 1 species